rnacentral:lncRNA from 1 species
AUGGAUGUUUAUUAUAUUCCUUUUAGAUCUCCUUUUGGCAGCUGGAUGAGAAGGGCAUGCCACCAUAAAGGAGGGAUCACUGAAACGAGGUUAAAGUUGUAUUCAAAAGCAACACCAGUGCUGUACGUUGCACGUAUCACCACUAUUGAGGGUCAAUACCUCUUCCCUGGAGUCACUGUCAGAGUUCUAGAACUGCAUUUGGGGAAAUCAAGAACUGAAUACGUUCCUUUUUUAUUUCUGCUCAUUUUCAGGGUUACGUUUCUUGAAGAGUUGGGCCUAGCAAUAUGGCAGCGCACGUUCGAUAAGAAACCCCGUAAAGCGCUGCCCCUGAGAUGCUGAACCCCUGCAGCUCCUCCUCUUGGUAUGAUUUGGAUGGAAAUUUUGGGUGCUGAAAACUUUGGAAAAGCUGGAUACUUUUAAGGUAGGUAUCUAAGUAAAAGCGUAGGAAUCUAAAUUUAGACAAUUCAUUUAGGUAAUCUUUGGAAAGAUGACCAGAGUUUAACAUCUCUAUUACUGAAUGAAACAGGAG